UACGAAGGGGGCUAGCGUUGCUCGGAAUGACUGGGCGUAAAGGGCGCGUAGGCGGAUGGCACAGUCAGAUGUGAAAUUCCCGGGCUUAACCUGGGGGCUGCAUUUGAUACGUGUGAUCUGGAGUGAGGAAGAGGGUCGUGGAAUUCCCAGUGUAGAGGUGAAAUUCGUAGAUAUUGGGAAGAACACCGGUGGCGAAGGCGGGUCUCUGGGCCGAUACUGACGCUGAGGAGCGAAAGCGUGGGGAGCGAACAGG
rnacentral:rRNA from 1 species